CCCGUGAGGGGCCGUUGGGCGCCAUUUUCCCGUCCCCCUCGUGCAUCGGCGGUAACGGCCGUGCCUCGUGGUCCGGCCUAACCCUGGGGGCCGCGGGAGGCAGUGGCGGGGGGAGAAGGGGCCUCGCUCCUCUCGUCUCCCCAGGCCGCGCAUGGAGGCGGCCACGGGCCCCGGGCCCCGCCGGGACGGCCUCGGGGCCUGCCCCACGCAGGAAGAUGUCUUGAAGGAAAGAAUGCCUGGUUUUUCCAGCUAAGCAUGAUGUGAUUAGGAUGGGGAGCAGGUAGCUCGGUGGAGCUGGCCCUAAUGUGAAGCCCUUCACAAGUCCUGGGAAAGGAAGUGAGACUGCAAGAGUAGGAGGUUCUUUGGGGUGUUCAUGCUGAAAGAAAGUUUGUCUGAGGAAGAAGGAAUCCAAGGAAACUUGCAUGUGAGCUUGGGGGGACUAGUCUGUGUAAACACUGCAUAUUUUUUUGUCCAUAGACUUCAAGAAAAGACAACAAAUACACUGAUAUGAUUACACACUAU